rnacentral:rRNA from 1 species
CCUACGGGAGGCAGCAGUAGGGAAUCUUCGGCAAUGGACGGAAGUCUGACCGAGCAACGCCGCGUGAGUGAAGAAGGUUUUCGGAUCGUAAAGCUCUGUUGUAAGAGAAGAACGAGUGUGAGAGUGGAAAGUUCACACUGUGACGGUAUCUUACCAGAAAGGGACGGCUAACUACGUGCCAGCAGCCGCGGUAAUACGUAGGUCCCGAGCGUUGUCCGGAUUUAUUGGGCGUAAAGCGAGCGCAGGCGGUUAGAUAAGUCUGAAGUUAAAGGCUGUGGCUUAACCAUAGUACGCUUUGGAAACUGUUUAACUUGAGUGCAAGAGGGGAGAGUGGAAUUCCAUGUGUAGCGGUGAAAUGCGUAGAUAUAUGGAGGAACACCGGUGGCGAAAGCGGCUCUCUGGCUUGUAACUGACGCUGAGGCUCGAAAGCGUGGGGAGCAAACAGGAUUAGAUACCCCAGUAGUC